rnacentral:rRNA from 1 species
GUGUCAGCCGCCGCGGUAAAACGUAGGUGGCAAGCGUUAUCCGGAUUUACUGGGCGUAAAGGGUGUGCAGGCGGCUUGUCAAGUGGUGUAUGAAAGCGCUCGGCUCAACCGGGCAAGGGUAUGCCAGACUGACAGGCUCGAGUCUGAAAGAGGGUGGUGGAAUUCCGGGUGUAGUGGUGAAAUGCGUAGAGAUCCGGAGGAACCCCAGAGGCGAAGGCGGCCACCUGGUUCAGCACUGACGCUCAGACACGACAGCAUGGGGAGCGAACGGGAUUAGAAACCCCAGUAGUCC